rnacentral:rRNA from 1 species
GAGGAAACGGACUAACACUCAUCAACCCUGUGAACAUACCUAAAACGUUGCCUCGGCGGGAACAGACGGCCCCGUAACACGGGCCGCCCCCGCCAGAGGACCCCCUAACUCUGUUUCUAUAAUGUUUCUUCUGAGUAAACAAGCAAAUAAAUUAAAACUUUCAACAACGGAUCUCUUGGCUCUGGCAUCGAUGAAGAACGCAGCGAAAUGCGAUAAGUAAUGUGAAUUGCAGAAUUCAGUGAAUCAUCGAAUCUUUGAACGCACAUUGCGCCCGCCAGUAUUCUGGCGGGCAUGCCUGUUCGAGCGUCAUUACAACCCUCAGGCCCCCGGGCCUGGCGUUGGGGAUCGGCGGAAGCCCCCUGCGGGCACAACGCCGUCCCCCAAAUACAGUGGCGGUCCCGCCGCAGCUUCCAUUGCGUAGUAGCUAACACCUCGCAACUGGAGAGCGGCGCGGCCACGCCGUAAAACACCCAACUUCUGAAUGUUGACCUCGAAUCAGGUAGGAAUACCCGCUGAACUUAAGCAUAUCAAUAAGCGGAGAGA